rnacentral:tRNA from 4 species
GGUGGAUUAGCUCAGUUGGUAGAGCAUCGGAUUGAAAAUCCGUGUGUCCCCGGUUCGAGUCCGGGAUCUACCA